CCUACGGGAUGCAGCAGUGAGGAAUAUUGGUCAAUGGUCUUGCGCCUGAACCAGCCAAGUCGCGUGAGGGAAGAAUGCCCUGUGGAUUGUAAACCUCUUUUGUCAGGGAGCAAUUGGCGCUACGUGUAUCGUUCUCGGUAGUCCCUACAAAACAAGCAUCGGCUACCUCCGGUCCGCCGGCAGCGGUAAGCCGGGGGAUGCGGGCGUUAUCCGGAUUUAUUGGGUUUAAAGGUUUCGUGGGCGGCAUGCCAGGUCAGCGUUAAACUCGCGGGGCUAACCCUCGCUCCGCCGUUGAAACUGGCGGUCUUGAGUGGGAGAGAAGUAUGCGGAAUGCGCGGUGUAGCGGUGAAAUGCAUAGAUAUCACGCAGAACUCCGAUUGCGAAGGCAGCAUACCGGCGCCCAACUGACGCUGAAGCACGAAAGCGUGGGUAUCGAACAGGAUUAGAUACCCCUGUAGUC
rnacentral:rRNA from 1 species